AAGAAAAAGAAAGAAAUAUUACUCCGUAUACAAUACAAAAGAUUUGGGAGGACAGGCAAGCGAGAGCGGCGAGCGGUAGAAAAAACCCAUAACGGAGGGAGAGGGAGACCGGAGAAGGAAGAGUGAAGAAGAAAGAUGAUGCGAACAAGGUUCCUGUGGUUCACGCUGGGCUUCUCGUCUGCCUCGGCGUUGAUGGCUCAAUUCGUGUUCAGGGAUCUCUUAAUCGAUCGCACCCUUCUUUCUUCACAGUUGAAAGAAAAAUUCAGCGCCUUGGAAGGCAGAGUCUCAAGUCUCGAAACUGUGCUUCAAGACAACCCCGAGCCUCACCAGGGCGAAGGGAAUUAGAAGUGAAGGGCUGGAUCUGUUUAGGGCAUCACUCGGACUUGAUAAUAAACUUAAGCAAUGUUUCUUUUUGAAGGAAAUAGUUUUGCAAAUUGUUAAAUCGUUGGUGUACUCAUUUCCAAGUUGUCAUGUAAAACACUCUUCUCGCUAAUAACAGAGAAUGGCUUGAUGGUCUGUCUUCCCAAAUUUCACAUUAAGCAAAUAGGAAGAAGAGACGGAUGAUCUUCUAAGAUACCUAACUUACGGAACCGAAGAAUUUGAGAUUAUCUCAGACCAUUACACCAAAACUGUAUAUGCAGUGUAGACUUUUGCUCUUGUAUUUGGGAAAGAAUGCAUUUAUUGAAUAUAUACAAUGCACCCUUCAAAGGUUGCUUAGAAGUGUUUUGAUUUUUGAA